UGCAGACAUGUCUGUAAGUCGCUUUGGAUGAAAGUGUCUGCUAAAUGGUACAUA
rfam:Salmo salar isolate Sally breed double haploid chromosome ssa11, whole genome shotgun sequence.